rnacentral:tRNA from 1 species
GGUGCAGAGGCACUACAUUUCAGUGCAAGAGGCGUCACUGCAGUCCCUGGUUCAAAUCCAGGCUGCAUCA